rnacentral:rRNA from 1 species
CAGCAGCCACGGGAAUACAGAGGGUGCGAGCGUUAAUCGGAAUUACUGGGCGUAAAGCGUGCGUAGGCGGCUUGUUAAGUCGGAUGUGAAAUCCCUGGGCUUAACUUAGGAAUUGCAGUCGAUACUGGGAAGCUAGAGUAUGGGAGAGGAUGGUAGAAUUCCAGGUGUAGCGGUGAAAUGCGUAGAGAUCUGGAGGAAUACCAAUGGCGAAGGCAGCCAUCUGGCCUAAUACUGACGCUGAGGCACGAAAGCAUGGGGAGCAAACAGGAUUAGAUACCCGUGUAGUCCCUGUCUCUUAUAC